UGGGACUCUCGCUAGUAUUGACCUCCUGGACUAGUACCGAUGGUGGCUCCAUACGGGUAGACGUAGGCCCUGAAACCAUAACAAAGACAAGACAAUUACAGGGAGGACGUACGUGUUCUCGGGCGAGUGCGGACUCGGUUAGUAUACAAGAUCAUCAACAGAGUAAUAGGAUGCAUCUGCUGAAGCCAAGACUCAUGUAACAACAAGCUGGACCGAAGCUCAGCCAUAGUUGGUUUUGGUCGUUGAAGCUUCGCCGUAGUGACAAAGCUUUCAUAGUCCGAAGGCAGGCCAGCAAGAAGGAAUGUAAACAUAUCAGAUUGGGACACCGGUGCAUUGAUAGAUGCCAAGGAGUCACAACUGUUCUUGAAUGUACGAAGGUAAGCCGCCAUAAACGGAUUUCCUUUCUUCUCUCUUUCACUAUCAUGUUCCUCACUAACCCGAAAG
rnacentral:lncRNA from 1 species